rnacentral:rRNA from 1 species
UACGUAGGGUGCGAGCGUUGUCCGGAUUUAUUGGGCGUAAAGGGCUCGUAGGCGGCGUGUCGCGUCGGGAGUGAAAGACCGGGGCUUAACCCCGGUUCUGCUUCCGGUACGGGCAUGCUGGAGUGUGGCAGGGGAGACUGGAAGUUCCUGGUGUAGCGGUGGAAGUGACGCAGAUAUCAGGAGGAACACCGGUGGCGAAGGCGGGUCUCUGGGCCAUUACUGACGCUGGAGGAGCGAAAGCGUGGGGAGCGAACAGG